AACAAAGCUUAAGGCAGUGAUUGAUAGGUUAUUUCUUGGACACAGCUGAACGUAUACUGUGCGCCUGCAACUUUCCGGUGGUUUCGGACCGGACUUCAGUGAAGCCAGUGAAGUCGGUCGACUUGCAGAACUUCCUUUCAGAGGGGCGUACACAGCACCGCGGCCGUGUGCCUGUGAUCUCCUUCUGAGUUUGAAAAAGAAGAUCCUAGACACCGAGCCAAAUAUGUUUGCAUAAACCGGGAGACUUGUGGCUCUAUUUUGUAACAGCUUGGCGCAGGGCAGCUGGUUUGGAGAUGUCUCUGUUCUUCCCUUGGUGGGGGUGCCGGAAAAAAUGUGCUGCCUGGGCGAUCGAGGUUGGGGCAAAAGCGUUGCAAAGGAAAAGGUGGGAGGACUCUACUUUCACAUUUCCCAAAAGAGUUUUACCAUAAGACUAUUUCUGGAUUGUUCUAACGUGAGGAUAUUGGGAGCAUUUUGAAAAUACUGGAGGAAAAGCUGUCACUGGGCGAUUUAAAUCCGGACUCCCGGAUGUCAUGCAUCAGCCCUAUGAGAGUCUUGCCUCUUCUUCAACACACCUGUGUUUCACCGCUGUCCUUUGAUCAGGAGUCCUGUCUGGCAAAGGUGCAAAGCCCCCUACAUCUCUUCCUCUCAAAACCUGCUGCCCAACUUUCCCUCUCUUUCCAGAAAUAAUAAUUCCCUCCCUGUCCUCCCACAACUCUACUUAGCACUGGCUUGAAUGGUGACAAGUAGUGUAUGUGUUUCCCUGACUACACUGUGACUGCUUCUAUGAUCACACUGAAUUCCUCUUUGUAUCA
rnacentral:lncRNA from 10 species